AACUCCACACAAACCCUAUCUUGAAACCUGCGAUCCCUCUCCCUCUUUCUUUGUGGAUGUAAAGCAACCCAAGAACGCUAACUCAUCAGUUUCAAGUUCCUAGCGACUCCUCGCAAUCGUAUAACUUGGACGAGAUUGACAAUCUUGAUGAAUUUUCAAGUUUACUACCGAGCAAAUUAAGGUCAGUAGGUACAGCUGUGGACAGGCGUUGCAAGCUGCUGGAGUGGUGUGGUUCGUUAAAACUUUAUGUUUUGAAACACUUAUUAAACUUAUGGUUUUUCUUUAAGUUCUUGUUGGGUUUUAACUUUACUUUCUGCUGCAACAUAAACUGUGAUUUGGAAAAACUAAAACGUUAUCACUUAUCAUGUUGUUAGUGAUACUUUAAAAAUUUCAAAUGUUUGGUUCAACA